rfam:Ixodes scapularis strain Wikel colony gcontig_1108379687844, whole genome shotgun sequence.
UUCUGGGAGGAUUGACAGAUUGAAAGCUCUUUCUUGAUUCGGUGGAUGGUGGUGCAUGUCCGUUCUUAGUUGGUGGAGUGAUUUGUCUGGUUAAUUCUGAUAACAAACGAAACUCUAUCCUAUUAGAUAGUUGCGUGGUUCUCUGCAAAUUGCAAACUUAGAGGGACAAGCAGCUCCUAGCCGCACGAAAAAUGAGCAAAAACAGGUAUGUGAUGUCCUUACAU